GACGAACCGUGCGAACGUUGUUCGGAAUCACUGGGCUUAAAGGGCGCGUAGGCGGACCGGCGAGUCAGGGGUGAAAGCCCGCGGCCCAACCGCGGAAGUGCCCCUGAUACCGCCGGCCUUGAGGGGGAUAGGGGCGCGCGGAACUUCGGGUGGAGCGGUGAAAUGCGUAGAUAUCCGAAGGAACACCGGUGGCGAAGGCGGCGCGCUGGGUCCCUACUGACGCUGAGGCGCGAAAGCCAGGGGAGCGAACGGG
rnacentral:rRNA from 2 species